AUGGCCAAGAAAAUGGGGAGCCACAGUGCCCAUGUGCCCAGCUCCUCACUCUUCUUCCUGCUGCUGUUGCUGCUGCUCUGUCUGCCACAGUUCAGAGCUCAGAGCUUCCUGGACCUCGGCCCUCACUGGAGAUUCUUACAGCCCCACAACCAGCACUCUAUAAGUGUCCACUAUGACCAGGACGAUGACCGGGACCAGGACUCUGUAAGUGUCAGUAAUUACCAUGAUGAUGACCGUGACCAAGACUCUGUAAGCAUCUAUGGUAACCACAAUGAUGACCAUAACCAGGGCCUUGCAAGUGUCCAAGAUAACCACAACAAUGACCGUGACCAGGAUUCUGUAAGUGUCAGUGAUUACCAGGAUGAUGAUCAGGACCGGGACCCUGCAAGUUUCCAUGAUAACCACAAUGGUUACCAUGACCAGGACCCUGAAAAUGUCCACUAUAACCAGGACAGUUACCAUGGCCAGGACUCUGUAAGUGUCCGUGAUUACCAGGAUGAUGAUCAGGACUGGGACCCUGCAAGUUUCCAUGAUAACCACAAUGGUUACCAUGACCAUGGCCCUGAAAAUGUCCACUAUAACCAGGACAGUUACCAUGGCCAGGACUCUGUAAGUGACAGUGAUUACCAUGAUGCUGACCAUGUCCAGGACUCCGUAAGCAUCUAUGGUAACCAGGAUGAUGACCAUGUCCAGGACUCCGUAAGAAUCUAUGGUAACCAGGAUGAUGACCAUGUCCAGGACUCCGUAAGCAUCUAUGGUAACCAGGAUGAUGACCAUGUCCAGGACUCUGUAAGUGUCAGCAAUUACCAUGAUGAUAACCAUGUCCACGACUUUGUAAGUGUCAGCAAUUACGAGGAUGAUGACCGUGACCAGGACUUCGUAAGCAUCCAUGGUAACCACAGUGAUGACCAUCACCGGGACUUUAUGAAGGAGAGCAUAUCAUGGAGUACUGCGAAGGCACCUUUGACCUGUACUUCGUCUUUGACAUGUGAGUGGCCCUGCCUGCCAUGGCUCCAGAAGCCCCCUGAAGCUCACAUCCCCCAGGUCACUACAGGCUGGACAUGGCCUGGAGGAGGGGAGGAGGGAUGCCAGCUACCGUCAGGAGAGAUGUGGAACCACUGUCUUCGCGCGAGGAAAACCGAGUCUUUGUGGCACUCUUGAUUCCUGGAAGGAGGAAGAAAAAUCCUCCCCAGGGGUUCUGAAAGGCACCCUGCCCAGCACCCAUGGGGCUUGGAUCUUGGGACCCCACUUCCCUUAAGAAGUGGCUGCUGGGAGCUUCCCUCUGGAGCUCACUGGGAUUUUGCCCACAUACCCGAUGAGAUAGUUGCACUUCCUCUGCUGGGCGUGAACAGCGUCAUCACAGCCCCUGGCUUGGUGCUUCCUGGUGCCUGCUGCUGUGUCCUAAGUCCUGGGGAACGCAUGAGGAUCCCUGCUGUUUCAGGAAUGCUGUGGUGUCUUGGUGUGGCUCUGGGGCAGCCCGGCAGGGCAUGAGGCACCUUCUGGCUCUCAGAGAAGGAGAGAAGGCUAGAAGGCAAAGGGGCGGUCUCAGGCUUGGGGGGCAUGCCUUGCUGCCACCCUCAGCUCCUCGUGGGCUGGGAGGAAGCUGUGACAGGGGUAGCACUGCCAGAGCAUCGCGGCUGCAUUUCCCGGUCCCCAGAGUCCUUCUACCCCACACCUGGUGCCCUCAGGCCCCUCCCGGAGUGUGGGGGAGAGAAGGUGCUUUUCCAUCUGUGAGCUCCUGGGGUUGGGUGCCGUGCGCUGAGGCUGUACUAGGGACCAGGCUCAGGCUACUGUCCAUGCCGGAGUCCCUCUGGGCGUCCUCUUUCUCCACGGAUACGGAGGACUGGGGGAUGUGGGCCCAGCCCAGCAGCACUUAAGCAAAGCCAAAGCCAGCAGUGAUGGGAGCCCCUGCCCACUGGAGGAGAAGCCUCUCCCCAGGUCUUGCUCUUUAACACAGCCAGGGGGAUGGUGGCUGCCAAGGGGCACCCGGGAUGGAGGAUGCAUGGGCAUUGUGGGCACUGACAGCCUUGCUGGACCAGCCCUUCCAGAGAGGGUCUUCUCAGCUGCCACCUGGUAACCCCUCCCACUGUCACUGUGCUAGGACUCCUGAGUGAGGCCCACAGGGACCCAGCCCAGCCCUGGGGUGGAUGGGAAGGGUUAAGGGCUCAGGUGAGUGAUGGCAAAGACGCAAAUUGAGCACGUGAGAUGUGCCAAUCCCUGCUCCAGGGAGCUACCCACGGUGUUAGAGCCAGGUAGGCAGCGCAGGGGUAUCCAGCCGAUGCACAAGGGUCAGUGCCUGGUAAGCUCUGAGCUCUCCUGUCCCAGAAGCCCUGUGAUCUGCCAGCACUCAGUGCAGACAAAGAAAAGAUGGGGCAUCUCGUCUUUCAGUUCUUGAAGCAAGGCAUCGGGAUCUUGAUCCCACUCCACUGAAAGCUCUGCUCUUGAGAACUGAUCUGGACACAGAACUCCUGGCACCCAUCAUGCAGGCAGUGCAGGGCUGCAAAUCUCCACAAUGAUCUGCUAGGGCGUCUGAGGUGCUGGCCAUUGUUUCUGCUGGUGAUCCUGUCUUCCUCGUGAGGGCAUGGGCGAGGUUCAUUGUCCACAAUACCGACGGGGACUUGCCACUCUGGCUCCAUCGUCCGUGUAUCCCACCCCUUCUUCAGAUGGGCGUGGCUGUUGAUUUCUGGAGGAAAGUUGUCUCCAGAAUUGCUCAGGAGACAUCAGUGAGUCACUAUCCCACCCAAGCCUCACCAUCCAUUUGAUGCUUGUUCGCCUUCAGUUCUGGCACAAUCCGUGUUGCUCUGACGGGGGCUCUCCUUGCGUUGAGGUCUAACGCCUCUGAGUGCCUUAAUCCAGCUCCCACCCCCAUGUGUCAAGUCACUGCAAGGCAAUUUUGCUGCAAGAAAGCUUUGAAAUACAUGCAUACUUGUUUGAGAAUAUGCCCUUCCUGGGAACAUUUGGACGACUCUGGCCUCUUCAUCUCUUUAUUGCUGUCUAUUUUUAUGACAGUACCACAGAGUUUUGGUCACUGUAGCUUUGUAAUAUAUUUUGAAAACAGGAAAUGUGAGUCUUCCAACUAUGUCCCUUUUAUUUAAGAUUAUUUGGGGUGUCGUAUUUGGGUCCCUUGAGAUUUCACAUGGCUUUUAAGAUGGAGUUUUCUAUUUCUACCCAAAAAUGCCCCUUCAAUUUUUAAAUAGUCUAAAAUUGAAGCUGUGUAUGGUUUUGGCUAGUACUGUCAUUUUAACAAGAUUGAGUCUUCUGGUCCUUAAGUACAUGAUGUGUUUUAAUUUGUGUACCUUUACACUCUUCUAGCAGUGUUGUAUAGUUUUUAGUACAUGUUUUUUUGUCUCUUGGGUUAAAUUUGUUCCCAAGUAUUUUUUCAGUUGACGCCAUUAUAAAUAAAACAGGUUUUUAAAUUUCA
rnacentral:lncRNA from 1 species